UUAGAAAAUCUAAUUCAGAGGAAUGGUCAUACUCUAGUCCAACUAUAAACUUACCUUAUCUCAACAAAGUUCUUCAAUAGAACUAAGACAAAAUUCUAAAUUUUGCAAAAAAAAAUAAAAAAAAGAGGUGCUCAUUUUAUCUCAACAAUGCUCUUGGUAGAACAACAGUGAAACACCUUUCUAUACAAUGAAUUCUCUAGAACCUCUCCAGCACCAAAAACCUCCAAUGGCUACAGAACAAACCCCACCACCCCAACAACAACAACAACAACUACCACUACAAGGCCAUGAAAUAAUGGCUAUUCCUCAAACCACAGCCCUAGCCCCAGAAAGAACCCAAAAACGACAUGUCACCCCGAAACAUCAUAUUCCAACAACAAAACCUACCAUUUUCUUUACCCAGAAACUUUUGGAUCACCUAUUGCCGCUGUUGGGGCUAUUGCUGAGCCCUCUAAGAAAAAGAGGGGUCGUCCAAGGAAGAUUGUUGGUGAUGGUAGAACUGGCAUUACUGGUGCUACUUCUUCAGGAAAUUCAUCCAAAAAGGUCUGCGGGAGGACCUCAGGCUCCAAAAAGAAGCAGCAAGAGCCAAAAGUUUUAGAAGGUUCAACUGAAUUGGGAUCUACAACGCGCACAAUCCAUGUGAACACUGGGGAGGACAUUUUUUCUAUGAAUGACUUUCUUACAGCAAGGACCAUCGGCAGUUUCUGUUCUAUCUGCAAUUGGAAACGUGCGUCAUGUUACCCUUCGGCGAUAUGCAAUGGGUAGUGACACUGUGACGUAUGAGGGUGAAUUUGCCAUCAUCUCGUUAUCAGGUUCAUUAAUUCUUUCAGAAAGUAAUGGUAACCAUGGUGCAGUAGGUUGUCUAGGCGUGUUACUGUCAGGGCCAAAUAAUAAGGUUUUGGCCGGUGUUGUUACAGGAAUGCUCAUAGCUUCUUCUCCUGUACAGGUGCUUGUGAGUCAAUCUCUCGUUUCCCAAGUUCCUCAAGGCUGAUGUAAACGCUGGUAGCCCUCAGAGUCACGAGUCAGGACCUAAGUAUUGGAGCCAAGCAGCGUGAAAAAGCUUCCUUCGGCUUGUUAUUUCCCUGCAACUGAGAUGUCAGAUUUUAGGCAUUAGGUCGGUUUCUUGACUUAAUCUUGCUUAUCAUUUUAGACUUUAUGAAAUGUUAUAGGUGGCUUGUGGCGGAGUAUAUGUUUUUUUCUCAAAUAGGCAAACCAAAUAUAUUUACAAUCUUUUUAUUCAGUUCUGUUAAAUUAUUGAAUGAAAUUUAUGAACUCCAAGUUGAUGCGAAAACUUGCCAAUCAAGUUUGUGUGAGGUAUGAAGAGCAAUGUUUCUCGUACUUUUUCAUGUUCGGUUGGUCAAAAGUAUUGGUUAACUUGUUGGUACAGUGGACUGACAAAUUGGUUCCUCAACAACUAGCUAUUUGGGUUUUCUCCUAGCCAGGUGAAAAAAAAAAAAAGAUGAUACAGGAAAAAUGGCUGGAGGGACAGAAAGAUGUGCGCAAAAUUGAGAAAAUCGAUAUCUCUCUGUGGGCGAUAAACAACGUGUUACUUUCAUAUAGUGCAACAUCAUGUUGUUAGACUCAUCCAUUGUGCAACAUCACGAUGUCUCAAAAACAUUUGUAACCUCAUGAGGGAAGGAUUGUCCAAAUCACCAAUAAAUUCUCCAAUCACCAAUAAAUUCUCCAAUCAAUCUGGGACUCUUACUGUGAAGCCCCGAGAUACUUUAAUGCUUAUUAAAAAUCUUGAAUUUAUAUUCAUUUGAUGGAGAUUAUGUGGGAGAAUUAGAUUUCUAGGUUUCAAGAUGAUGUGAGUAUGAAAAUACAUAUUUGAAAGGGUCAAAAGCAGAUUUAACUGAAUGGGUGGAGUAAUUAUUGAAUAUAUGUGUAAUGUGUACACACACUGAAGGCAUUAAUUUAUAAGUGAGAGUUUUAGUCAUUAUAAUUAGAGGCAUGUUGUAUGUGUUUAGCUGGUCAGUUUAAUAGUAUGAAUUAUUUAUUUGAGAAAAAGAUAAUAUAUACGGGUCGAGCCUACAAAGUUACUGCAUACAACGUGUGGCUUCGUGGCUGCUAACAGAGAACGAAAAAAAAGGUUACAGGGGUUAGUUUUAAUUUGCCCUUGGUAACUUCUGCUGCUCUUGUCUCUCGUAAACAAAGGAUUAAAUUGUUGAUUGUCAUUGGUAAAAGGUAGAAGUUAACCUUGCUAGCAGUGAAGUAUCUUGAGGUGCAGGUAAUAUAGAUGGGCAGACUACAAGCUAGGCCGUUUUAUUCCAGAAACUGAUUGGUGAGCUCCGCUCUUGAUCGUGGAGUUUCCUUUCUUUCAUCAACUUCAUUCACUUAAUUCUUUUUCAGUACUUGCUUUAGGGAUUAGCCAGGAAAUCUAUGUCCUGUGCAUUCCUCUUAGCACUCUAGUAGAGGCUUCAUAGAUGUAUUUUUAGUUGGUUAUGAUUGAUCAUGUUACUUUGAAUUAUUUUAAGAAUCAUUUGAACUGAUGUUCUAAUAAAGAUACUUGUCAUUUAUUUUA